ensembl:lncRNA
CAGUCUCUGUCCUCCAGUAAAUGCAAAUAUCCUGGAACAAGCGGCACCAUCAAGGGAGCGCAAAGAACCGGAUACUAGUACCAGUUCCGGUGCCGGUUCCUGAGAAACUGUGGGGCAACCUCCUCUAACUGGUCACAGGACACCUUCCUGAGGGACCAUCGUGGGUGGCCAGGACUCCACGGUAAACAGGACACUUAUGGAAAUUUCCCUUCUCAGGACAGUGCAUUGGGACUAUCCCCCAGAAGUCACGUGAAUGUUGGCCUGAGCUGAUUCUCUACUGGAGCCCUUGGCCCGAUCUCAUUGUUAUCUCUCCUGCUACCGGAAGUCAAACCUAAAAAUACAAACCCAAGUUUGUAGCCAACAUCAGGGUAAAAACAAACAAAAAACAACCAUUAAAACCAUUUCCACUUCUUUGGCAGAACAGGAAGUCAUUGCCCCAAUAGAGGAUGUUGAUACUUAAUUUCAGUAGAAAGACCAAGAGAAAGGAACUCAGCACAGUUAAGCC